rnacentral:rRNA from 1 species
AUUGAACGCUGGCGGCAGGCCUAACACAUGCAAGUCGAACGAGUGGCGGACGGGUGAGUAAUGUUUGGGAAUCUGGCUUAUGGAGGGGGAUAACGACGGGAAACGGUAGCUAAUACCGCGUACCAUAGGAUGAGCCCAAAUGGGAUUAGGUAGUUGGUGGGGUAAAGGCCAACCAAGGCGACGAUCUCUAGCUGGUCUGAGAGGAUGACCAGCCACACCGGAACUGAGACACGGCCCGGACUCCUACGGGAGGCAGCAGUGGGGAAUAUUGCACAAUGGGGGCAAUCCUGAUGCAGCCAUGCCGCGUGAAUGAAGAAGGCCUUCGGGUUGUAAAGUACUUUCGGUGUGGAGGCGUUAAUCACAGAAGAAGCACCGGCUAACUCCGUGCCAGCAGCCGCGGUAAUUC